rnacentral:rRNA from 1 species
GGGACCUGACGCAGCAACGCCGCGUGAAGGAAGAAGGCCUUCGGGUUGUAAACUUCUUUGAUUGGGGACGAAGGAAGUGACGGUACCCAAAGAACACCCCGCGGCUAACUACCUGCCAGCAGCCGCGGUAAUUAGUGCCAGCAGCCGCGGUAAUA